rnacentral:tRNA from 1 species
GGGGCCGUAGCCCAACGGCAGAGGCGACGGCUUUAGGUGCCGUUCAGUGCGGGUUCGAAUCCCGCCGGCCCCA